UUCUUCCCCGAAGAUUGGAAGAAGAUGAAGGCAGACACACCCUUUGGAGCUCUGCCGAUGCUGGAAAUCCCCGGCAUCGGCACGAUGGCACAUGAGCUUGCGAUGCUGAACUUCAUUGCCAACCAGGUGCCUUCGAUGGCCGGUGAGGGCAAGAAGGACUUUGUCAUCUCCCAACAGCUCCUAUGCGAGGCCGAGGAC
rnacentral:RNase_MRP_RNA from 1 species